GCAAUCCUCAGCCUCGCAAAUUCCUUCUCUUUAACUACAUCUAAUUGACUCUUAAGAUGUCGCAGUUCCUCGUCCUUCAAAGCUAGCUCGUGCUCAAGACGUCG